CAGUGAAGAACAUGGCCAGGCAGUCCAGUUAUUUUGUGAGGUUGGAUGGGUGGUUCUGAAUCAGAAUGUGUGUGUCUGUGCCUGUGUGUGUGUGUGUGUGUGUGUGU